rnacentral:tRNA from 1 species
GCAUUGGUUGUUCAGUGGUAGAAUACUUACCUUCCAUGUGAAAGACCUGGGGUCAAUUCCCCACCAACGCA